rnacentral:rRNA from 1 species
UCUAACAUGUACGCGAGUCAUUGGGACUUGUAAAGCCUAAAGGCGUAAUGAAAGUGAAGAUCGACUUUACGUCGAUCGAGGGAGGAUGGCUCGCGUCUCGAUGCGAGCCCGCACUCCCGGGGCGUCUCGUGCUCAUUGCGAGCUGAGGCGCACCCAGAGCGUACACGUUGGGACCCGAAAGAUGGUGAACUAUGCCUGGUCAGGACGAAGUCAGGGGAAACCCUGAUGGAGGUCCGUAGCGAUUCUGACGUGCAAAUCGAUCGUCGGAACUGGGUAUAGGGGCGAAAGACUAAUCGAACCAUCUAGUAGCUGGUUCCCUCCGAAGUUUCCCUCAGGAUAGCUGGCACUCGCUAGAGCGAGUCUCAUCUGGUAAAGCGAAUGAUUAGAGGCCUUGGGGCCGAAACGACCUCAACCUAUUCUCAAACUUUAAAUGGGUGAGAUCUCUGGCUUGCUUGAACGUUGAAGCCACGAGAUUUUUUGCAAUGGAUCAGAGUGCCAAGUGGGCCAAUUU